rnacentral:rRNA from 1 species
UACGUAUGGUGCAAGCGUUAUCCGGAUUUACUGGGCGUAAAGGGAGCGCAGGCGGCGCGCCAAGUCCGAUGUGAAACCCCGGGGCUCAACCCCGGGCAUGCAUUGGAAACUGGCGGGCUGGAGUGCCGGAGAGGUAAGCGGAAUUCCUAGUGUAGCGGUGAAAUGCGUAGAUAUUAGGAGGAACACCAGUGGCGAAGGCGGCUUACUGGACGGCAACUGACGCUGAGGCUCGAAAGCGUGGGGAGCAAACAGG